rnacentral:rRNA from 1 species
AACGAACGCUGGCGGCAGGCUUAACACAUGCAAAUCGAACGGGCCCUUCGGGGUCAGUGGCAGACGGGUGAGUAACGCGUGGGAACGUGCCCUUCAGUUCGGGAUAACCCAGGGAAACUUGGGCUAAUACCGGAUACGUGCGAGAGCAGAAAGAUUUAUCGCUGAAGGAUCGGCCCGCGUCUGAUUAGCUGGUUGGUGGGGUAAUGGCCCACCAAGGCGACGAUCAGUAGCUGGUCUGAGAGGAUGACCAGCCACAUUGGGACUGAGACACGGCCCAAACUCCUACGGGAGGCAGCAGUGGGGAAUAUUGGACAAUGGGCGCAAGCCUGAUCCAGCCAUGCCGCGUGAGUGAUGACGGCCUUAGGGUUGUAAAGCUCUUUCGCACGCGACGAUAAUGACGGUAGCGUGAGAAGAAGCCCCGGCUAACUUCGUGCCAGCAGCCGCCGUAA